rnacentral:lncRNA from 1 species
AAUUUAAUAUUACCCAUGUUUAUUUCAGGACCACAAACUUCCUCUGCUAGAACUAGAGGAAGCUUUGGAAGUAGCUAAAAACAACCUUCAGCAGAUGAAGACUACGGAGGAGAUGCUUGAACACUUGAUUACUAAUGUGAAGGAGGAUGAAAGCAAGAUCAUGGAUGUAAUUAACAACACAUUUGCAGAUGUUAUUUCUUCUCUGAAUUCAAGGAAACGAAAAUUAGAGACAGAAUUAAUAAUGAACACCAGUUACUAUGUAACAGAUAUACACUGUAUUCAGGUGUUGGUUACACAGAAAAUCAGCGAUUUGAACACAGCCAUUAAAAAAGCAACAGAGUUUAAAGCAACAAAUUCCUUGAAAUAUAAAUUUAAUUUGAAUCAGGUAAGUUUUAACUUUCAGUGGUACAGCUUUUCUUUGGAGUUUAAAAAA